UACAGAGGUGGCAAGCGUUGUUCGGAAUUACUGGGCGUAAAGGGCGCGUAGGCGGCCAUCUAAGUCAGACGUGAAAUCCCCCGGCUUAACCUGGAACUGGCGUCUGAUACUGGACGGCUUGAGUAUGGGAGAGGGAUGUAGAAUUCCAGGUGUAGCGGUGAAAUGCGUAGAUAAUCUGGAGGAAUACCGGUGGCGAAGGCGGCAGUCCUGG
rnacentral:rRNA from 1 species